UACGUAGGGGGCUAGCGUUGUCCGGAUUUAUUGGGCGUAAAGAGCGUGUAGGCGGCCAGGUAGGUCUGCUGUGAAAACUUGAGGCUCAACCUCGAGACGUCGGCGGAAACCAUCUGGCUAGAGUCCGGAAGAGGAGAGUGGAAUUCCUGGUGUAGCGGUGAAAUGCGCAGAUAUCAGGAAGAACACCCGUGGCGAAGGCGGCUCUCUGGGACGGUACUGACGCUGAGACGCGAAAAGCGUGGGGAGCGAACAGG
rnacentral:rRNA from 1 species